UAUCAAGAUCAACUCAACGCGAUCUGCAAAAUUUAUUAUAGACAUAUGCAUCGGCAACCACCCUUUUAAAGUUUUUAUGAAUAGAAAGGAAGUGGGGGUUGGAGAUCUCGAAUGUGGUGAUGUUGGAGAGACCAAUGGAUUGUGAAGAUGUUGCAUAUGAGCAUGGAGUAAAUGAAGUGGCUAUGAAAUAAAUUCCAUGCUCAUUAAUGCUUAGAGUGAAAUCCAUGUGGUGUGGUGAAAAUGGUAAGGUGAGUGUGGUAAAAAAGGAAAAGAAAAAGAAAAAGGAUACACGGACGACUUGGUUCGAAACUAGCACAGCUACCGUUCCCCGGCAACGGCGCCAGAAAGCUUGUUGGGUAUUUUAAACGCAAACAGAAAAAUCCGCAAGCGCACGGAUACCGAUGUAGCUUUCACCCGGGAGUAUUCCAGAGUAUCGAUUUUCCACAGAGAACGUGAGUGUACUAAUUAAGAUCCAAGAUCGCCUAAGGAUAACUAUAUAAUUAUUUUUGGUGGGA
rnacentral:lncRNA from 1 species